rnacentral:rRNA from 1 species
UACGAAGGAUCCAAGCGUUGUCCGGAUUUACUGGGCUUAAAGGGUGCGUAGGCGGACUUUUAAGUCAGUGGUGAAAGCUCGCAGCUUAACUGUGAAAUUGCCAUUGAAACUGAAAGUCUCGAGUGCGGUUGAGGUAACUGGAAUAUAUCAUGUAGCGGUGAAAUGCUUAGAUAUGAUAUAGAACACCAAUUGCGAAGGCAGGUUACUGAGCCACAACUGACGCUGAGGCACGAAAGCGUGGGGAGCAAACAGG